AAUGAUGUUUUUUGUCAUUAUCAGGUAGUCACAGGUAGAUAUCUUUUGUCGCAAAUAACAAGCAUUUGUCAAAUUGUAUGGGGGAAUGCCACAGUAAUGUAGCAGAAGCUGUUAGAACUUACGCCAACAGGUUUCCCAACCGACGAUAGCCCAGCGCGCAUGUCCUGCGCCGGCUAAUUCAAAGGGCUAGAAAUACUGGACGAUUGGCUCCAAGAAUUGAAGUAGAUAGUGGACGACCAAGAGGUGCUCGGGUUCCAGACAUAGAAGAACAGUUUGACCCUUACAAGAGUUUUUGGUCGUGAGCACAGCAUACGAAAUAGAAAGCGGCGUCACCAAUACCAGAGCUUCGAGCGAUUUGCUUAGUUUUUAUUGACUUUAAAAACUUGGAGCCAAACAGGGGUUCAAACACUGAAGUUUACCUAAAACUUUUCAAAAAGGAAGCCAAUGGUGGCGAGCAACGAUAAGCAAACACUUCACCGUCUUCCGCUCAUGGAUUUUUGUUUGCCGUUAC